UCGCUACUACCGAUUGAACGUUUUAGUGAGGUGUUUGGAUCGGACCUCUUGGGACUCGCGUCCCGAGUGUUGUCUGAGAAGAUCCCCAAACUUGAGCGUUUAGAGGAAGUAA
rnacentral:rRNA from 1 species